rnacentral:rRNA from 1 species
UACAGAGGGGGCAAGCGUUGUUCGGAAUUACUGGGCGUAAAGGGCGCGUAGGCGGCCUUCUAAGUCGAACGUGAAAUCCCUGGGCUUAACCCAGGAACUGCGUCCGAUACUGGAAGGCUUGAAUCCGGGAGAGGGAUGCGGAAUUCCAGGUGUAGCGGUGAAAUGCGUAGAUAUCUGGAGGAACACCGGUGGCGAAGGCGGGUCUUGGGCCGAUACUGACGCUGAGGAGCGAAAGCGUGGGGAGCAAACAGGG